AGCCCUGACGACGACUCGCGGCGGUCCCGGCGUGCAGCAGCUACGUCGGCGAGGAAUUGUGCCCGAAUCGAUCCCCCAUAUUGCUUGGCGUUGACGCAAACUUCACCACCGUGCACCCGCGACACGCCCCAAACUCCAAAAUAGGUCCAGCGUGGAUACACCGGGAUCCUGGACGGCGGCGGCUCCUUACUUGCCCCAAACCCGGUGUGCAUAGCCCUCUGCUCACGCAGCUUUCUCUCUAAAG
rnacentral:lncRNA from 7 species